GUUUGCUCAUCUUCUUCGAUUUCCUCGUUUUCAUUCUCUUUAAGAUACUUCAUUUCUUUUGAUUAUUCUUCUUCAGGUUACUCUUUUCUUUGUUUGCCUGCUGAUCUUCUUUGUUUGUCAUUUCUUUUCUUGUUUUGGCUUAAUGAUUUUUGCCUUUUUCUUCUUCUGUGCAAUGUAACUUGGAAAAUGGGAGUGUGUACAAACUACUAGUUCUUAUUAGUUUUGGAGCCAGUCCAAUCCGCAUGAUUUUUUAAUCUGCAGUACAUGAUUUUAGUAAACAUUAGGAUUAAUGUAUUUUACUUUUUCAGGCAUUAGGUACCAGAUUCACUCAAUUUGUACAGCCUGUAUUUCAGAGGUGCAUAAAUAUCAUCCAGACUCAACAAUUGGCUAAGAAACAAUCGACAUUGAAAUCGAUUUGGCAUACCUUAGCUUCCUUUCCUGACUUCAAUUUUUAUGACUAUGGCUAGUUUGAACACUUCUAUACCUGUGGAUGAUGGGUUUAAUGAGUACGAAAGUGCUGUCAAACGUCAAAAGUCUACCACUUCAAAGGUGUGGGACGAAAUGACAAAGCUUGAAUGCGAGAACAAAAUGAAUUGAAGGCACAAUGUAAUCACUGUAAGACUAUCUUCUCUGCUAAGUCUUCUAGUGGAACCUCUCAUUUAAGACGUCAUCUAAAUAGCUGUUUGAAAAAAGUUAAUAAGGACAUCACUCAAUACACCAUAGCCACUCAACCAUGACCAGAAGGUGUUCCAUCUAUAAAAAAACUACAAGUUUGAUGCUGAUGAGUGUCGUCAAGCUAUUUCUACUUUUCUUGUGUGUGGCAAGCAUUCAUUUAGGACAGUUGAAGAACAGGGAUUUAGAUAUAUGAUGAGAAUUGCUAGUCCUAAUUUUAAGAGUAUAAGUAGACAAACAGCUACUAGAGAUGUCCUAAAGUAUUAUGCAAAAAAAAAGAGAUCAUGUGAAAGAAGAGUUGGCUAAAGCACCUGGUUUAAUUUGUCUAACUUCUGAUAAUUGGAAUUCGGAGCAUACUAAUGAUGAAUAUAUUUGCAUUACUGCUCAUUGGGUUGACAAAGAUUGGAGGCUACAAAAGAGAAUCAUAAGGUUUAGAGCUUUAUUUCCUCCGUAUGAUGGUUUGAACAUAGCGGAUGAACUUGUUUUAUGUUUAUCUCAAUGGGGUAUAGAUAAGAAAAUUUUUAGCAUCACUUUGGAUAAUGCUUCUUAUAAUGAUGUUAUGGUUUCUUGUCUUAAAAAUCGUUUUCGUGCAAACCGAGCUAUUUUGUGUGAUGGUGCUUUUUUUCAAGUUAGAUGUUGUGCACAUAUAUUGAAUCUUAUAGUUAAAGCUGGUUUGGAACUUACCGAUGAUGUUGUUUGUAAGAUUUGAAAUGGGAUUAGGUACAUAAAAAAGUUAGGAAUUCGUAGGAAAAGAUUUUAUGAUGUGGCCGACAAAAUUUUUCAUUUGAAUGUGACCAAAAAGUUGCGUCAAGAUGUGUGUGUGUGAUGGAAUUCUACUUAUUUGAUGCUUGAAUCUUCUCUUUACUAUAAAGAUGUGCUAGAUUAUUGGGGCCAACGGGAUAAAGAUUAUCAAAUGUUUGCACUUUCUAG